AUUGAACGCUGGCGGCAGGCCUAACACAUGCAAGUCGAGCGGAUGAAGGGAGCUUGCUCCUGGAUUCAGCGGCGGACGGGUGAGUAAUGCCUAGGAAUCUGCCUGGUAGUGGGGGAUAACGUCCGGAAACGGGCGCUAAUACCGCAUACGUCCUGAGGGAGAAAGUGGGGGAUCUUCGGACCUCACGCUAUCAGAUGAGCCUAGGUCGGAUUAGCUAGUUGGUGGGGUAAAGGCCUACCAAGGCGACGAUCCGUAACUGGUCUGAGAGGAUGAUCAGUCACACUGGAACUGAGCCACGGUCCAGACUACUACGGGAGGCAGCAGUGGGGAAUAUUGGACAAUGGGCGAAAGCCUGAUCCAGCCAUGCCGCGUGUGUGAAGAAGGUCUUCGGAUUGUAAAGCACUUUAAGUUGGGAGGAAGGGCAGUAAGUUAAUACCUUGCUGUUUUGACGUUACCAACAGAAUAAGCACCGGCUAACUUCGUG
rnacentral:rRNA from 1 species